ACUGCAUGGUAUGGGCAUUUACAUAUGAGAUCCUUCAAUCUUUCCCAUGUCUCAUGAAAUAUUUCUUUAUCCAGUUGGAAAAAGUUAGUGAUGGUUUUUCUAAUUU